CCAGACUCCUACGGGAGGCAGCAGUGGGGAAUAUUGCACAAUGGGGGAAACUCUGAUGCAGCGACGCCGCGUGAGGGAAGACGGUCUUCGGAUUGUAAACCUCUGUCUUUGGGGAAGAAAAUGACGGUACCCAAAGAAGAAGCCCCGGCUAACUACGUGCCAGCAGCCGCGGUGAUACGUAGGGGGCAAGCGUUAUCCGGAUUUACUGGGUGUAAAGGGGGCGCAGACGGCGAUGCAAGCCAGGAGUGAAAGCCCGGGGCCCAACCCCGGGACUGCUCUUGGAACUGCGUGGCUGGAGUGCAGGAGGGGCAGGCGGAAUUCCUGGUGUAGCGGUGAAAUGCGUAGAUAUCAGGAGGAACACCGGUGGCGAAGGCGGCCUGCUGGACUGCAACUGACGUUGAGGCCCGAAAGCGUGGGGAGCAAACAGGAUUAGAUACCCCAGUAC
rnacentral:rRNA from 1 species